GAGCAGUUCCAAAUGCAAGAGCCUCAUGGCAAAUCUGCAGCCUUUUGGAAACAGCCGUGGAAGACCUGGAGGGCCUCUAGCAGAUGGCUGGAAAAUGAAAAAAGAAAAAGGAAAAGCAAAAUCCUAUAAAAUUCAAGUACUCAAGUUCCUGUUUUAAUGGGAGGUUCAAAUGUGGUCUAAAUCCUUUAUGGCCUAAAGGUUUCUACAUUUUAGUAAAGUGGUACAAUAUUAACUCUAGGUUGUAAAAGUUAAAGAAAUGUAUCAUAAUUUCUAAGUAAUCACUAAAAAUGUAAUAUGAUGACGUAUUGCUAAAAAGCACUAUGUGAAUUAAAAUGGAAUUCUAAAUACUUUAGGCAGAGGAGAGUUGAGGAACAUUUAUUUAAACCCUUUGGGUGCAAAUAACAGACCAGAGAUAAAUGUCAAAGGAAAAUUAAGCAGAAGAUCAAAGAAAAAAACAAAAUAGAAACAUUCUAUAUCUACCCUCCUAAAAUAUUAAAAAAAUGCACCUUGCAGAAUAUGGAUUAAAAUCCUUCUGAUGGAACACUUGCUUAAGUAAGAUACCCAAUAUCUUAUCGAAUAAGUUAAAUUAUAAAUACACUUUUGAGGAAACACACCUCUGAGCUCUAACCUAGAUAUUAAAGAAUGAAAUGAAAGGAGAAUUAGGAGUUUCUGAUGCGGCUCAAUGGGUUAAGAAUCCAACCGGUACCCAUGAGGAUGAAGGUUUGAUCCUUGUCCUUGCUCAGUGGGUUAAGGAUCCUGUGAUGCCGUAAGUUGUGGCAGUAUAGGUCAUGGAUGUGGCAUGGAUCUGGCAUUGCUGUGGCUGUGGUUGGCAGCUGAAGCUCUGAUUUGAUCCCUAGCCUGGGAACUUCCAUAUGGUGCAGGCAUGGCCCUAAAAAUAAAUAAAUGGAAAGAGAAUGAAUAAAUGGAGAAAAGUUAAAACAUUUUAGGACUACUGAAUUUACUAAGAUUGACAUUGUAAAAAAAAUGGAACCAUACAUAGAAAUUUUAAAAAAGGUAAUAAAAGGAUACUAUGAAAACUAUGCCCAUAAAUUUGAUAAACUGAAUGAAAUGAAUAAGUUCCUUGAAAAGCACAUCCUGCCGAAAGUCACGGAACAGGAAAUAUAUGAUUGAGUAGGUCAAUAUCUAUUAAAGAAGUUGAACAAAAACUUAGUAACCUUUCAUAAUAGAAAGUAUUAUACCCAACUGAGUUCACUGAUGAAUUCACAAACAUUUAAGGAAGAAAUGACACUAUUGUUUAAAAUUUAUUUCAGAGGAUUAAAGCAGAGGGCAUACUUUCUAACUCAUUCUUUAAGUCUAGUAUUACUCUGACGCUAAAGUCAGACAAAGACAUUAUGAAAAAAGAAAACUACAAACCAAUAGCUCUCAUGAAGAUAUAUACAUAUAUUUUCCACAGAAUAUUAACAAAUCAAAUCAAAAAAGUAUAAAAAGCAUUAUACACCAUGACUAAGUGGGAUUUAUCCCAGGUAUGCAAAUCUGGUUCAACAUUUGAAAAUGAAUUAAUGUAAGCCAUUGCAUCAGCAGACUGAAAAAGAAAAAAAAAUCACAUAAUCAUAUAAUAGAUGAAGAAAAAGCAUUUGAUAAAACCCAACAUUCACUUGUGGUAAAAACUCUCAGUAAACUUGGAGUUGAGGGCAACUCUCUCAGCUUGAAGAUUAUCUGUGAAAAACCUACAGCUAACAUCAUAAUGGUGAGAAACUUGAAGCUUUCCUAUUAAGAUCUAGUAUAAGGCAAGGAUGUCCCCUCUCUUUUUCAACAUUGUCCUGCAGGUACUUGCUAUUGUAGUAAGGCAAGAAAUGGAAAUAAAAGGUAUGCAGGGUAAGAUAGAUAUGAAACUGUCUUUGUUUGCAGAUGACAUGAUUGUCUAUGUAGAAACUCUAAAGGAAUCCGUGAAAAAAACUCCUGGAACUAAUAAGUGAUUAUAGUAAGUUUGCAGGCUACAAGGUUAAUAUAAAAAAACUCAAUUGUUUUCCUAUAUACCAAUGGUGCACAAGUGGAAUUUGAAAUUAAAAACACAAGGCUAUGUAUAUUAGCAUCCCUCAAAUGCAAUACUUUUGGCAUAAAUCUAAAAAAAUAUGUAUAAGAUUGAUAUGGGAAAACCAUAAAACUCUGAUGAAGGAAAUCAAAGAAUAACUAAAUAAGUAAAGAGAUGGUCCAUGUUUAUGGAUAGGACGAUCACUAUUGUGAAGAUAUCAGUUCCUCUCAGCUUUAUCUAUAGGUUCAAUGAAAUUUCAACUAAAAUCCCAGCAGGAUAUUUAUGGAUAUUGAUAAACUGAUCCUAAAGUUUAUAUAGAGAAGCAAAAGACCCAGAAAAGCCUAUACAAUAUUGAAGGAGAAGAACAAAGCUGGAGAAUUGACAUGACCUGACUUUAAGGCCUACUUACUGUAAAGCUACAAUAAUCAAGUCAGUGUAGUACUGAUGAGAGAAUAGACAAAUAUAUCAAUGGAACAAAAUAGAGAGCCCCCAAAUAAACCCACAUAAAUAUCAACAAAGGAGCAAAAGCAGUGCCAUGGAACAAAGACAGACUUUUUAGCAAAUGAUGCUGGAAAAACUGGACAUCUACAGGACCAAAAAAAAAAAAAAA
rnacentral:lncRNA from 9 species